rnacentral:other from 1 species
ACAUUCCUGAGAUGUACGAGAGCUUUUGAUAAUUCAACCGACAUAUGUAUUACGGGAGUUCAAGUUCUAUAGUGUAUGAUAGGCCUACUUGUAUAGGAAAUCAGAAACUAAAGAUAGAACACCCACCUGCGAGAGAUGCGGGUAUGAAUUAGCAGGGCAACCGGCAUCGCGGGAAAAUC